rnacentral:misc_RNA from 1 species
UCCGGGUUGAAGAAAUGUCAAAAAUAUUAUGUUCAUUUCUCUAAUUAGAGUCUACUAAUAAGAUGGAUCCACAGGUUAAUGGGACACUGAUAGAAGGAAUUGGAGAUGAGCUGCUUUACGUAAUCACCAUUGUAGUUGCAGCUAUAUGUGUGGGCAUAACUUUGUAUUUCAGAUCAACACAAGAUAUUCAACAUAGAAUUCAUCCUGCAAGUGAAGCAGAUGUUAAUAACACAAGAGAGAGACUUGGGAACACACAAAAUGGCAAUGUACCUCACAUGCAGAAUUCUGGUUCAAGACAUAGUGAAAGAAGGGAAGCGGUUAUCACUUGCCCAAUUUGUUUGGGAGAUGCACUCUUUGCUAUUGAGACAAAUUGUGGUCACAUAUUUUGUGGCCAAUGUAUAAUCACAUAUUGGCAGCAUGGAACCUGGUUAGGUGCUGUAGCCUGUCCUGUUUGUAGACAGCAGGUGUCUCUCCUGCUAUUCCAUUUUACUGAUGGUGAAAGGAAUAGUGAGUCAGAGGAAAAGAAUGAAGUGAUGCGAGAAAUAAACUUAUACAAUAGAAGAUUUUCUGGAGAACCUAGAGAUUUGAUGGACUAUUUAAGAGAUCUGCCUACUUUGCUGCGACAUGCAUUUACAGAAUUUUUCUCAGUUGGAGGACUAAUAUGGAUGUUCAGACUUCGAAUUAUUGUCUGCUUUUUUCUAGCCUUAGUAUAUUUUUUAUCUCCAUUGGAUAUAAUACCAGAAGCCAUGUUUGGAAUAUUAGGAUUUCUUGAUGAUUUCUUCAUCUUGCUUUUGUUAGCAAUCUAUAUAAGCAUUAUUUAUAGACGAUUUGUUGAGUCACGUGCUCAUGCUGUAGACUGAUUCCCAUGUACCUUGAACAAGCAAACUUUAAGUUGUUACACAUGAAAUAUAAUAUACUUUGACUGCAUCUAGCUGUCAAUAGCUGUGUUCAUUAUUCAUGUGUACUGGAAAUAAUAAAGAAUAUCUAGUCUGUGACUGAAUUUUGUAAAAUCAUGGGCUUUUGAAAGACCAUGCUCAAAUACUUCACUUCAUGGAGUUAAAAUAAUUGAAUUAUUGAUGUAGAAUGAAUUCAUUGUUUUUACUGUAAAUUGUAUCUAAUGUAGACACACUUGAAGAAGGGUUAUGUCAUGCCCAUUUUCAAAUACUGUAGUUCUGACAUUAUUUCAAGAUCGACCAUCCUUCAAUUUUUAAAGCAAUUUAUCAAAGAAAUUGAAUAUAUGGACAUCUCCUUCCUCAGUUUUAAUGGAUGGAAAUUUCUGCAUCUAAAGCGUCCAUAACAUGUAUAUUUGAUUAGAAAUCUUGAAGGCAGAAUCAGAUCUAGUAAGAUCCUGAUGAGUACUCUUGACAAAAAUUAUAAAUAUGGUUGCCAUUUUUAUUAGGCUAUUUGGGAGAAUUUUAAAAAGCUUUCCCCAUUUUUGCACUUUUAAUCUUUAGGUUAUAAAUUCACCAAUUUCUUACAUAUCAUGGAUCUUUUGGGAG